rnacentral:rRNA from 1 species
GACAGAGGUGGCAAGCGUUGUUCGGAAUUACUGGGCGUAAAGCGCGCGUAGGCGGUGAGGUAAGUCAGCGGUGAAAUCCCUCAGCUUAACUGAGGAACGGCCGCUGAAACUGCUUGACUUGAGUCCGGGAGGGGAGGGCGGAAUUCCCGGUGUAGCGGUGAAAUGCGUAGAGAUCGGGAGGAACACCAGUGGCGAAGGCGGCCCUCUGGAACGGUACUGACGCUGAGGCGCGAAAGCGUGGGGAGCAAACAGGAUUAGAAACCCGUAGUAGU